rnacentral:rRNA from 1 species
AGUCGUAACAAGGUCUCCGUAGGUGAACCUGCGGAGGGAUCAUUGAAUCUAUCGUGUAAACCCACUCCGGUAACCAAAUGUUAGGGCCCACUCUGCUGCAAAGCAGGGGCCCCCGCCGAGUGCUUGCCACUCGGUGGGGCGCCUUUCCCCGCCCUCUUGAUUGAGAGGGGGCAAAGGUGGGGUCCGCAGACCAUGGCCUGCCCUGAAGUAAGCGUACCUUAACAGGGGCGCACCAAAAGCAGACAACUCUCAACAACGGAUAUCUCGGCUCCCACAACGAUGAAGAACGCAGCGAAAUGCGAUACCUGAUGUGAAUUGCAGAAUUCCGUGAAUCAUCGAGUUUUUGAACGCAUAUGGCGCCUGAAGCCUCGGCGGAGGGCAUGCCUGCCUCAGCGUCGUUCCAACCCCCUCUCCAAUCAGGGUUUCACGACCUUGGCCUUGGAGGAACUGGCCUCUCCCCUCCCAAGGGACUGGCUGAAAGGCAAUCGGCCCGGUUAAGCGACCGGCACCUGUGGUGGUGGCCAAGCGCCUCCCCUCUGGACCGGACGCUUACACUGUAUAGCGGCCCAAUGUGAACGCACCCCCAAUCAUUCGACCUGAGUUCAGGCAAGAGCACCCGCUGAACUUAAGCAUAUCAAUAAGCGGAGGAAAAGAAACUAACCAGGAUUCCCCUAGUA